rnacentral:rRNA from 1 species
AUUGAACGCUGGCGGCAGGCUUAACACAUGCAAGUCGAGCGGAGAGAGGUAGCUUGCUACUGAUCUUAGCGGCGGACGGGUGAGUAAUGCUUAGGAAUCUGCCUAUUAGUGGGGGACAACAUUUCGAAAGGAAUGCUAAUACCGCAUACGUCCUACGGGAGAAAGCAGGGGAUCUUCGGACCUUGCGCUAAUAGAUGAGCCUAAGUCGGAUUAGCUAGGUGGUGGGGUAAAGGCCUACCAAGGCGACGAUCUGUAGCGGGUCUGAGAGGAUGAGCCGCCACACUGGGACUGAGACACGGCCCAGACUCCUACGGGAGGCAGCAGUGGGGAAUAUUGGACAAUGGGCGGAAGCCUGAUCCAGCCAUGCCGCGUGUGUGAAGAAGGCCUUAUGGUUGUAAAGCACUUUAAGCGAGGAGGAGGCUACUUUAGUUAAUACCUAGAGAUAGUGGACGUUACUCGCAGAAUAAGCACCGGCUAACUCUGUGCCAGCCGCCGCCGUAA